rnacentral:rRNA from 1 species
GGGGCCCGAGUUGUAAUUUGGAGAGGGUGCUUUGGUGUCGGCAGCAGCCUAAGUUCCUUGGAACAGGUCAUCAUAGAGGGUGAGAAUCCCGUAUGUGGCUGAUUGUCUUCACCGUGUAAAGCCCCUUCGACGAGUCGAGUUGUUUGGGAAUGCAGCUCUAAAUGGGAGGUAAAUUUCUUCUAAAGCUAAAUACUGGCCAGAGACCGAUAGCGCACAAGUAGAGUGAUCGAAAGAUGAAAAGCACUUUGGAAAGAGAGUCAAAAAGCACGUGAAAUUGUUGAAAGGGAAGCGCUUGCAGCCAGACGUGCCCGUAGUUGCUCAUCUGGGGUUUUCCCCAGUGCACUCUUCUAUGGGCAGGCCAGCAUCAGUCCGGGCGGUUGGAGAAAGGCCUGUGUCACGUAGCUGCUUUCGGGCAGUGUUAUAGGGCAGGUGGAAUACGACCAGCCUGGACUGAGGUCCGCGCAUCUGCUAGGAUGCUGGCGUAAUGGCUGUAAGCGGCCCGUCUUGAAACACGGACCAAGGAGUCUAACAUCUAUGCGAGUGUUUGGGUGUCAAGCCCGAGCGCGCAAUGAAAGUGAACGGAGGUGGGAACCCUCGGGUGCACCAUCGACCGAUCCUGAUGUCUUCGGAUGGAUUUGAGUAAGAGCAUAGCUGUUGGGACCCGAAAGAUGGUGAACUAUGCCUGAAUAGGGUGAAGCCAGAGGAAACUCUGGUGGAGGCUCGCAGCGGUUCUGACGUGCAAAUCGAUCGUCAAAUUUGGGCAUAGGGGCGAAAGACUAAUCGAAC